CAUGGCUGAAGGUGGUAACUGGGAAGGUGAUUCAGUGGCCUCUACAUCAAAGAAACAAACAGGUGGGAAAUUAACUCAAGUGGUCAAUGUUUUCAAAAGACUUUGGCCAGGCACCUCAUCAAAGAACGAUGGUCAGAACACAGGAACAACGACAGAAAAGCAAAGUGGGAUUGAAAGCAGAACUUCAAUGGAAUGUGAACCCGCCGAAGAGGAAAGGGAACAAUGUCAGUCCCGA